GCUUCAUAUAUAUAUAUAUAUAUAUAUAUUCGCGGCAGUGCGCUCAUCCCGCCCACCGCGGCGACAAUUUCGGGUGGCCCGGCGCACAACGAAAACCGGCAAACACGAGAUCAUAACCAGAUGUGGACUUUCAACGACUUUAGGCCAUACAGU
rnacentral:lncRNA from 1 species